UACACCUACAGGUUGCCCAUUAGUCAACAGUUUGGUGCCAGCCGUCGUCUUCUGUUAUGCUUACCAUUUUGCUCGUAAAAUUAUAUUGAAGUGCAACAAAACUUUAUUUUGUCAUUUUCUCGUACAAGAUAUUAUACAUUUUUAGUACAUGUUACAUUUUGAUUAUAAAUAAAUGUUUGCAGCAAUUUGUUAAGCCUUAGCGGUGCGACGCGAGAGCAAGAAAUUCCCAUUUAUCAUUAAUUUGGGUAAUAUAUUUAAUGAAUAAUUUUUUUGAAAAAGAUCACUCAUGCAGUAAAUUAAACACGUUGUUUAUUUGUCUAGGUGACCGAAGUUAAAAAUCGCACCCAUGUCUACUAGACUACAAAACAACGGGGAUGGAUGAGGCGCUGAUCGGACACUACUGUAGCAAAGAGCAGCUAGUUGUAUUUAAUGGCCUGAUGGAGAGAUUAAUGGGAUUAAUGUUUCUCUGACAAUACCUACUAUAAAACUCCUGCAAGGUUGCCAGACAUAAAUGCACGCGGAUACGUUUUAAACCGGAUUCUAUGUCAUCUUGUUCUGGACAGUUAUGGCUGCUGCCGCCACCACAAAUAUCGCUCUCCUUGGACCAGAAUACGAAUAACUAGUACGCAUGAUAAAAACUUCACCUCCAGACAGUAACACUGGUGACAAUGGACAUAUUCGAAAUUAUACCCCAUCAUUUGCACGUGCAUAAUUUUAUUUGUAUUGUAAAAUUUUGCUUAUUUAUAAAUUACAAUUAAAAAAUUGUCCGUAGUCAAAUUUAGCAACGUGUUUGUAUUAUAUUCAGUUUAUUCUUUUUAAAGUAUCAGAAUAUAUUCUAUAAAAAUGGUGAUUUGAACGCCCACAUAAAUUUUUUAUUCAACAUGUUAUAUUAAUCAUGCAAAAUGAUUAAUCCACCUGCUGGGUAAAAAAAAUUGUGUUUUUCAUAAAUAUUCUUUAUUUAAUUAUUUUUUUACUGUAAUUAUAUUCUUCAUAAUUAUUCAAACUAUUCAGAAAUGUUUUAUUUAUUCAUUCAAAUUGUACUAAAUAAAAUUAAGUUAAUAAAUUAUAUUAUUUUAGUUCAAUGUAUACAGAGUGAUUGUUUGUUUAAUUAUGACUCACGCAAUGUCUUUAAAAGAAUACAGCAUAUAUAUUAUUCUCGAAAGUCAAUAAUAUCCUACAUUCCACGAUGUUCGAAAAAACUUGGUCUACCCCCUAUUUUCCAAAUAGCAAAGAAAAAUGUCUAGAAUAUUCCUAGAACAUUUAUUUAUUAUAUUAAAACAUUUCUCAGAUAUAAUCAGAAUAUUUUGAAAUAUCCUCACAAUAUACAUUAGCAGCGAAUAUUCCUGUCUCACAAUACACUUAAAGUAUAUUUCUA